UUACCCUUUUACCGUGUAUAUAUACACCAGGCACGGUGUAGGGCCUGAGGAUAUACUGGCAAACCGGAUGGAUACUGUUCCAGCCCUCAGAGAGCCUGCAGUCUAGAAGGAAGGACAGACAUCCAUCUAGGAGCUCCCAUGUGACAUGAGGGUGAUGGGAGAGACUGUGGAUCCCAAGCCUAGGCUGGAUGCAGAAGCAGGGGAUGCACGAAGGGCUGGCAGAUUGGGAGAAGAUCACGGGUCAGAUGCUCCGGGUGCCACGUGGAGAAUGGGGUUGAACUGGGCUUGGGGUCUUGCCUACUGAGUAACUACGGCAACAGUCAAAGCUACUUCUUCACACCUGCUGCGCACACCCUUGUUGAGGCAUCGGUGUUUGUGACUUGGAACGCUUGUGUCAGUCUCCAAGUAGGUGGCCCCGCCUGGGCCCCUCAGCACGUUAACCAGAGGCACCAUGCCUUAGAUCACAUCGCUCCAGUGCUCAGCCUCUCCAGUGACUUCUCGUUGUCCUGAGGAUAAAGUCCAAAAUCAUGAACAGGGCUUUACCAAGAAAGUGCUGCAGACGCAAGCCCCUGCCUGCUUCAGCCUGAGUCCUCCCAGGAGCCUCCUUCUGGAGUACUUCCCAUCCUCCUCACCAAGCUUGCUCUCCCUCCAUCUGGCAUGCUCCUGCUCUGCUUGGCAAAGUCCUCUUCUUUCUCUAGACAUCCGCUUAAGGAAGUCUCAGGGAAGGGACAUCUGGGUGGCUCAGUCAGUUAAG